GCUGUGAUGAUUCCCAUGGUAAAAGGUCAGUUGCUAAAGGGAUUGCAGACUCAUGGAUCGAUUUAGAAUUUUGGUUUUCCAUAAGGUAAGAGUAAAGAAAAAUAAAUAAAGAAUAUAAAAGAUAAGAAAAGAUAAAAGUAUAGAUACAAGCUAAUAGCAAGACACAGGUUAUCUCAGCAACCGUCUUUCUCCCCGGCAACGGCGCCAGAAAUGCUUGUUGAUAUUUGGGAACGCAAUAAGGAAUUGAUCCGCAAGCGCACAGAUAUCGGUGAGCACUUCACCCGGGAAAUUAUCC
rnacentral:lncRNA from 1 species